CAAAAUUUAGCAAAGCCUGUACUCAAAACACUAAAUCUCUGUUCCCCUUCACUCACCCAAAUUAGACCUACAGAAAUGCUGAACAUUGCUUUGAAAGUCUCUGCCAGCUUUCUUUUCAAGAAAGUCAAAUCGAGAUCCAGGAGUUGCUCUCCAAGAUCUUACAAAUAGGUAAGGUUACGAUGGAUUCAUUGAACUAUGACAACAGCUAAGAAAAAUUAAAAUGGGCGGUUUUUGAUCAUACAAAGGGAAUUCGUAGGUUCAUAACAGUACUAACCAUUUACUGAAUGCCUAUUACAAAUGAUUCUACAUUACUAAACAGUGCAUUCUGACUACAGGCUACUCAGAAAAGCAUAAAGCAAAAAAUUAAAAUGAUGGAUAAACAGCCCAUUGUCAAAAGACCAUCUCUAUUUCCUUUUAAUAUUUUAUGUUGUGUGUGAGUCACAUGACAGUUCUUUUUAUUUUAUGUAAAUGUAAAGAUUAGAAUUAAGCUAUUAAAAUACGGGACAUGAAGAAUUUUCCCAUGUAAUUAAGUAUACUUUGAAAAUGUGAUUUUUAAGUUGCUGCCCACUGGCCCCCUGUUUAACCAACAUAACAUGUGGGGCCCUUUCUAUUGUGUCUGAUUUGUCAGUUAUAGACAAGGAGGCAGAGGGGGAGGUAGAGGAGGACGGUUAGCCCUAAGGCAGCAGGUACUAUACUGAGAAUUUACAUUUACUAUUUCAUUUCAUCAUCAUAAUCCAAUAAGGCAACAAUGAAAAUUAACCCCUUUUAUGCAUUAGGAAAAUACAAUCAGAGAGUUUACAUAACUCACCACAGAUAACCCACUAGUAAGUAUCACAUUGGUGUUUUAAAAGAGUGCAACGAGACACAUGAAAACUGAAACAUGGCUCCCACUCUAGGUUUCUGAAAAAGGUUUUCUAGCACACACCAGGAACAGCGUAGAAUCAGCAGAACCUUCUAGCUAUACAGUGGUGGAAAGAACAGGUUCCCAUAAGCAG
rnacentral:lncRNA from 10 species